rnacentral:lncRNA from 1 species
UUUUUUUUUUUUAUCUCAAACAUCCUUACAUUACACCUCAAGGAACUAAAAAAAGAACAAAUUAAGCCCAAAGUUAGCAGAAGGAAGGCAUAAAACCAGACACAUAGACCAAUAGAACAGAAUUGAGGCCCCAGAAAUAAGCCCACGUAUAUAUGGUCAACUAAUAUAUUUUUUAAGAUUUUAUUUAUUCAUGAGAAACACAGAGAGGCAGAGACACAGGCAGAGGGAAAAGCAGGCUCCCCGGGGGGAGCCUGACAUGGGACCCAAUCCCAGGACCCCAGGAUCACAACCUGAGCCAAAGGCAGACACUCAACCACUGAGUGACCCAGGCACCCCAGGUCAACUAAUAUUUGACAAGGGAGCCAAGAAUACUCAAAGGGGAAAAAAUAAUCUCUUUAAUAAAUGAUGUUGGGGAAACUAGUUAGCCACAUGCAGAAGAAUGAAAUUGGACCCCUACCUUAUACCACUCACAAAAAUUAACUUAAAGGAAUUAAAGAAGACUUAAAUGUAAAACCUGAAACCAUGGAACUCCUAGAAGAAAAGUUUCUCUAUGAUGAGCUCCUUAACAUGGGUCUUGACAAAGAUUUUUUUAAUAUGAUGCCAAAAACACAGGCAACAAAAGCAAAAAUGGACAAGUGAGACUACAUCAAGCAAAAAAGCUUCUGCACAGCCAAAGAAAUAAUCAACAAAAUUAAAAGUCAACCUAUGGAAUGGUAGAAAAUAUUUGCAAAUCAUAUACCUGAUAAGGGUUAAUAUCCAAAAUAUAUAAGGAACUCAUAAAACUUGAUUUCCCCAAAAUACAAAUAAUCCAAUUAAAAAGUGGGCAAAGGACCAGAAUAGACAUUUUUCCAAAACAGACAUACAAGUGGCCAAUAAGUAUAGAAAAAGGUGCUCAACAUCUUUAAUCAUUAGGAAAAUGCAACUCAAAACCACAUUGAGAUAUCUCCUCACACCUGUUCAGGUGGCUAUUAUCAAAAAGUCAAGAGAUUUUUUUUUUUUAAGUCAAGAGAUUUUGUUUUAAAAAGUCAAGGGGAAAAAAAGUCAAGAGAUAAGUGUUGGUAAAGAUAUGGAGAAAAGAGAAUGCUAUGCACUGCUGGUGAGACUAUAAAUUGGCAUAGCUACCAUGGAAAACAAUGGAGGUUCCUUAAAAAAAUUAAAAAUAGAACUGCCAUAUGACCCAGAAAUCCUGCUUCUUGAUAUAUAGCCAAAGGAAAUGAAAUCAGGAUCUCAAAGAGAUAUCUGGACUCCCAUGUUCAUUGCAGCAUUACUCACAGUAGCCAAGACAUGUAAACAAUCUGUCUGGGGAUGGAUGAAUGGAUAAUAUAUAUAUAUAUAUAAAUGGAAUACUAUUCAGCCAUAAAAGAGGAGGAAAUCCUAACUUUUGUGACAACAUGGAUGGAUCAUGAGGCCAUUAUGCUGACUGAAAUAAGUCAGACAAAUACCUUACAAUAUCAUUUAUAUGUAGAAUCUAAAAAAGCCAAACUCACAGAAAUGGAGAAGAGAAUGGCAGUUGCCAGGGGCUGUGGGGGAAAUGGGGAGAUGCUCAUCAAAGGGUACAAAUUUCCAGUGAUAAGCUGAGCAGAUUCUGGGGAUCUAAUGUACAACAUGGUGACUAUAGCUAUUAACAAUACUAUUCUGGGGAUCCCUGGGUGGCGCAGCGGUUUGGCGCCUGCCUUUGGCCCAGGGCGCGAUCCUGGAGACCCGGGAUCGAAUCCCACGUCGGGCUCCCGGUGCAUGGAGCCUGCUUCUCCCUCUGCCUGUGUCUCUGCCUCUCUCUCUCUCUGUGACUAUCAUAAAUAAAUAAAAAUUAAAAAAAAAAAAAACAAAAAAAAA